GACGAACGCUGGCGGCGUGCUUAACACAUGCAAGUCGAACGGAAAGGCCCUGCUUGCCGGGUACUCGAGUGGCGAACGGGUGAGUAACACGUGGGUGAUCUGCCCUGCACUUCGGGAUAAGCCUGGGAAACUGGGUCUAAUACCGGAUAGGAGCCAAUUUUAGUGUGAUGGUUGGAAAGUUUUUUCGGUGUAGGAUGAGCUCGCGGCCUAUCAGCUUGUUGGUGGGGUAAUGGCCUACCAAGGCGGCGACGGGUAGCCGGCCUGAGAGGGUGGACGGCCACAUUGGGACUGAGAUACGGCCCAGACUCCUACGGGAGGCAGCAGUGGGGAAUAUUGCACAAUGGGCGCAAGCCUGAUGCAGCGACGCCGCGUGGGGGAUGACGGCCUUCGGGUUGUAAACUCCUUUCGCUAGGGACGAAGCUUUUUGUGACGGUACCUAGAGAAGAAGCACCGGCUAACUACGUG
rnacentral:rRNA from 1 species